rnacentral:rRNA from 1 species
GCUUGGCCCUAAACCUCAGUAGUUAGAUAACAAAACUACUCGCCAGAAUACUACAAGCAACAGCUUAAAACUCAAAGGACUUGACGGUGCUUUACAUCCCCCUAGAGGAGCCUGUUCCGUAAUCGAUAAACCCCGAUCUACCCCACCCUCUCUUGCUCAGCCUAUAUACCGCCAUCUUCAGCAAACCCUAAUGAAGGCUACAAAGUGAGCGCAAACGCCACUGCCGCGAAUACGUUAGGUCAAGGUGUAGCCCAUGAGACGGUAAAAAAUGGGCUACAUUUUCUAUUUCAGAAAACCCCACGAAAACCCUUAUGAAACUUAAGGGUCCAAGGAGGAUUUAGCAGUAAAUUAAGAAUAGAGUGCUUAAUUGAACCAGGCCAUAAAGCGCG